AAUGAACGCUGGCGGAAUGCUUUACGCAUGCAAGUCGAACGGCAGCACGGGGCAACCUGGUGGCGAGUGGCGAACGGGUGAGUAAUACAUCGGAACGUGCCCAAUCGUGGGGGAUAACGUAGCGAAAGUUACGCUAAUACCACAUACGAUCUACGGAUGAAAGCGGGGGAUCGCAAGACCUCGCGCGAGUGGAGCGGCCGAUGUCAGAUUAGGUAGUUGGUGGGGUAAAGGCUCACCAAGCCAACGAUCUGUAGCUGGUCUGAGAGGACGACCAGCCACACUGGAACUGAGACACGGUCCAGACUCCUACGGGAGGCAGCAGUGGGGAAUUUUGGACAAUGGGCGCAAGCCUGAUCCAGCCAUUCCGCGUGCAGGAUGAAGGCCUUCGGUUGUAAACGUAGCUUUUGUUACGGUAACGAAAC
rnacentral:rRNA from 1 species